GACGAACGCUGGCGGCGUGCCUAAUACAUGCAAGUAGAACGCUGAAGGAGGAGCUUGCUUCUCUGGAUGAGUUGCGAACGGGUGAGUAACGCGUAGGUAACCUGCCUGGUAGCGGGGGAUAACUAUUGGAAACGAUAGCUAAUACCGCAUAAUAGUAGAUGUUGCAUGACAUUUGCUUAAAAGGUGCAAUUGCAUCACUACCAGAUGGACCUGCGUUGUAUUAGCUAGUUGGUGGGGUAACGGCUCACCAAGGCAACGAUACACAGCCGACCUGAGAGGGUGAUCGGCCACACUGGGACUGAGACACGGCCCAGACUCCUACGGGAGGCAGCAGUAGGGAAUCUUCGGCAAUGGACGGAAGUCUGACCGAGCAACGCCGCGUGAGUGAAGAAGGUUUUCGGAUCGUAAAGCUCUGUUGUAAGAGAAGAACGAGUGUGAGAGUGGAAAGUUCACACUGUGACGGUAUCUUACCAGAAAGGGACGGCUAACUACGUGCCAGCAGCCGCGGUAAUACGUAGGUCCCGAGCGUUGUCCGGAUUUAUUGGGCGUAAAGCGAGCGCAGGCGGUUAGAUAAGUCUGAAGUUAAAGGCUGUGGCUUAACCAUAGUACGCUUUGGAAACUGUUUAACUUGAGUGCAAGAGGGGAGAGUGGAAUUCCAUGUGUAGCGGUGAAAUGCGUAGAUAUAUGGAGGAACACCGGUGGCGAAAGCGGCUCUCUGGCUUGUAACUGACGCUGAGGCUCGAAAGCGUGGGGAGCAAACAGG
rnacentral:rRNA from 1 species